ACCUGUGUUCCAUGUUUUUUAUCAUUUCAAUUUGAUUCUAAAUACUUUCCCCAGGCGUCUUCGCAGAUAUUAUAUAUUCCUUGUAAAAUUUCCACGGGAAGAUAGCCAUAUCUUCGAUAGUCCUGAAUAGUUCAUCCGGGAUAGUGAAAUUUUCCUCAUGAUGUUUAUAUACUUGUCUUGGGUUUUUCCCGCACAUUUUUAAUGGUAUUCAAAUCUGAUGUGUUGAUUGUACGGUCUAGCUAAUGCAUUUGUUCCUGGAUUUAUUAUUUUUUCCCAAUGCCUUGGGUUCGGUGGAUCGGUCUUUGCUUUGGUGGAUCGAAACAUUAUCUUCAUGCAUUUUUGGUUGAGAAAAUUGGCUAUAACGGACCACAGGUGAUAUUUAUAUCUGUGUGUGUUUUCAGAGCGGUCCUAAUAUCAGCAACAUACUCUGUAUUAUCUAGAUUGAGAGCAGAGCGAUACUAAGGGAUCCAUUUAAUCGACGUUUGUUUGUCUACUAGUACUUGUUUGUCCGUCCUUUUAUCUGUCUGUCUGUCACAUAUUCUGAGAUUGCAUUUUAUGAAACAUAAAAUGGUCAAUGAGUAAAACUUAUGGUUUGGUGAAAACAGCUAAAGCAAUCCUCUGUGAUGACAGGAUUCCAUUACAUAUAUUGGUGUUUCCGCCAUAGGUGCGCAUAUUUUACUUUUUAUAUGCAUCGUCAUAGCUUAUGUUAAAAAGUACGGCUGCCAGAGAAGAACAAAGACACGAUACUACCAAAAUACUAAUACAUUUUCAGCUGAACAAAUAUCAAGGCAACCAGAGGCUAACAGAUCAGUCACAACAAUAUCAAAUGGCGUUUUAAAUGUAAACCAAUCAUCAGCCGGGCAGUCAAAUGUCCAUAUGUCACCGAUGUUGUUAGAUGCAGUUGUACAUGGAUAUCACGCAUCAAGACAAACAAGGGAACAAACAUCCUCAGAUCCUGAAAUACAUAGCUUGUCACCUACAGAACAUUGCGACUUAGAUCAAUAUGAUGAAGAAUCUAGUGUUUCAUCAAUGACCACAUCAUGUCCUCCAUACUUAGAACAUGAAGGACAACAUAUGGAACAAUUCGACCUAAAUCAAUGUGAUGAAGAAUCUAGAAAUUCACCUAUAUCUCCCCCUUGUCCCCCAUAUACAGAACACGAAGACCGUUAUGUGGGACAGUUCUUUCCGACUGAUUACCCAGGUGAUUGUUUCCAAGACUGGCCAGAUGAUCCUCCGCCUGCGUAUAGUAGUUUAUUUGAAAUAGUUAGACCUGCUGAUGCUUUGCUUUUAAAAUGAUGUGGACAUUUUUUCUUGAAGGUAUUUGUUUGUUUAAAACCCAGCAUGUAAAGACUAAUUGCUAAAUGCAUACAUUUAUGAUGUUUAUUAUAUUGCAAGGCAGCGAUGAUUGAUGAUAAAUAUUGUUAACAUGUACCGGUAUAUUCUCUUUUUACCUACAAUUAAGUUGAUAGUUUAAGAUAAUUGAGAAUUACCUUUGCUAUAACUGUCUACCCU